ACGCUGGCGGCGUGCUUAACACAUGCAAGUCGAACGGAAAGGCCCUGCUUUUGUGGGGUGCUCGAGUGGCGAACGGGUGAGUAACACGUGAGUAACCUGCCCUUGACUUUGGGAUAACUUCAGGAAACUGGGGCUAAUACCGGAUAGGAGCUCCUGCUGCAUGGUGGGGGUUGGAAAGUUUCGGCGGUUGGGGAUGGACUCGCGGCUUAUCAGCUUGUUGGUGGGGUAGUGGCUUACCAAGGCUUUGACGGGUAGCCGGCCUGAGAGGGUGACCGGCCACAUUGGGACUGAGAUACGGCCCAGACUCCUACGGGAGGCAGCAGUGGGGAAUAUUGCACAAUGGGCGGAAGCCUGAUGCAGCAACGCCGCGUGCGGGAUGACGGCCUUCGGGUUGUAAACCGCUUUCGCCUGUGACGAAGCGUGAGUGACGGUAAUGGGUAAAGAAGCACCGGCUAACUACGUGCCAGCAGCCGCGGUGAUACGUAGGGUGCGAGCGUUGUCCGGAUUUAUUGGGCGUAAAGGGCUCGUAGGUGGUUGAUCGCGUCGGAAGUGUAAUCUUGGGGCUUAACCCUGAGCGUGCUUUCGAUACGGGUUGACUUGAGGAAGGUAGGGGAGAAUGGAAUUCCUGGUGGAGCGGUGGAAUGCGCAGAUAUCAGGAGGAACACCAGUGGCGAAGGCGGUUCUCUGGGCCUUUCCUGACGCUGAGGAGCGAAAGCGUGGGGAGCGAACAGGCUUAGAUACCCUGGUAGUCCACGCUGUAAACGGUGGGUACUAGGUGUGGGGGU
rnacentral:rRNA from 1 species